GCCGGAAUGGCUCAGUUGGAAGAACGUUAGACUGGAGAUCUAAAGGUCCCUGGUGCCAACCCGGGUUUCGGCA